ACAGUUCGGUCCCUAUCCGCUGUGCGCGUAGGAGUCUUGAGAAGGGCUGUCCCUAGUACGAGAGGACCGGGACGGACGAACCUCUGGUGUGCCAGUUGUUCUGCCAAGGGCAUGGCUGGUUGGCUACGUUCGGGAGGGAUAACCGCUGAAAGCAUCUAAGCGGGAAGCCUGCUUCGAGAUGAGGACUCCCACCUCCUAGAGAGGGUAAGGCUCCCAGUAGACGACUGGGUUGAUAGGCCGGAUAUGGAAGCACGGUAACGUGUGGAGUUGACCGGUACUAAGUAGGCCGAGGGCUUGUCCUC
rnacentral:ncRNA from 1 species